rnacentral:rRNA from 1 species
GGUGACAAUGGCGGAGGGGAAACACCCGUUCCCAUCCCGAACACGGCAGUUAAGCCUUCCCGCGCCGAUGGUACUGCAGGUUUCUGUGGGAGAGCAGGUCGUUGCCAAGA